UAAAGUUAAAACCUAUGUACAAUGUAUGUGACCAUUAUCCAGAUAAUGCAAACACUGCCGACUGCCGACUUCAUGUCCCUACACAGUGUCCAUACCACAGUGCCUCCACUCGUUACCUACCACUAUCCAUUCACCCGACACAGUACCUCCACCCCUUACCUACCACUAUACAUUCACACGGCACAGUGCCUCCACCGCUUACCUACCACUGUCCGUUCACACGGCACAGUGCCAUCACCGCUUACCUACCACUGUCCAUUCACACGGCACAGUGCCAUCACCGCUUACCUACUGCACAGUGCCUCCACCUAUUACAUACCAUUCCAUUCACCCGGCACAGUGUAUCCACUAUGGCUGCCUGUUUCACAAAGUUUCCGUUGUUCAAGCCUGCCCCCUUUACCUUCACACUCAUUACUCCCAUCAUAGUGCACCAGUCCCCACUGUCUACUUUCCCUGCACUCAUCACAGUGCCUCCACUCCACACUUUCCGCUCUCCCUGCUCCUACAAUAAAACAUUUCCAUGUUUGCCUGUUGCCAUCCCACAGAUAUGUUGAUGCUCUCACACCUGAGCCUCUGGCUGCAUUUCCUAUAUACCUGGCGCCGCCUCUCCCUUCUAACAGCGCAGCUUGCAGCCCGUGUCUCUGAGGACCCAGUGAAUAAUUUAUUUAUCUGGCAGUGUAAAUAAACCCUAGCCUGACUCAGAGGCUUUAUUACACUCCGACACGCUGCAAACAUGACUGACACAGGCCAAUAU